UUUUUUUUUUUUUUUUUUUUUUUUGGCUGCACCCAUGGCACACAGAAGUCCCCAGGCCAGGGAAUGAACCCGAGCCAUAACAGUAACCAUAGCAGUGGCAAUGGUAGAUCUUUAACCCACUGAUCCACCAGGGAACUCCAAGCACAUCCUAUUCUUAAGUGCCAGAACGGCCUUGGUAAUCAAGAGGGAAAUAACAAACCCAGACAGAAGAGCCAUCUUCAGAGAUUGCCAGCAACCCCAGAAUUACCCAUAAUUCUUCUAUCUGAUGGGCUUGGUCUUUUUGAUGAAAAUCAAAUAGGAUAUUACACAUUAUAACCAUAGCCUUUACUAUUAAAAUUGGAUAUACUAUACUUCACUUUUCGGGAAACACUAAGAGGAGCAAUUAUCACCCUGAAGCAUGUGUGGUACAGCAGAUAAAGACUGGACUCUUGGAUCAGAAGAUAAGUAGGGUAUCUAUUUCCACAGAGCUGCUAUUAACUUCUGUUUUUGCCCAGUGCAGAUGAGUGUACAACACUUUGUUCUCAUGUAAGGAGACUAGACAGAAUUACCCAGCAGAAUUUAAAAAACUUGGUCCAUCCAACCAAGACAUACUUUCUAGAAAAUUCUAUACCUACUCUGACCUAUGGAAAACUCCAUUUCUAUAUCCUGCCACCAAAUAGCACCCACAUGGUUUCAGUCAUCUCUCCAAGAAGGAAUGAGGAGAAGAACCCUCACUAAUCCAGUCAAUUUAAUUCCCCUUUAAUGGGAAUGAAAUCAAGAUCUCAAUAAUACAUGAUUCUGCUUUCUAGUCUUAUAUAGAAAUUACACCUUUAGCUCUAAAUCCUAGAUAGCUCUGACUAAGGGAGUGAAAAACUGAUCAAGUAAUAGAGUUGCUGUGCAGUAGGGAGCAGAAGUGGAAAGAAUAGAUUGGUGAUCAGGUGGUACAAUAAGUAAUGGGCUUGAGACUUUUUAGUAGGUCUGGCAGGGAUGCUUGACUGGGCAGGAGAGCUAUUUGUUUUGGAAAUUACUUGCAAACUGCUAACUGUACCUUAUGGAGUUAUGAGAACUGGGGACACAGUAACACUACAUUUCACAGAAUUUCAUAGCUGGAAGAAAUCUUUAAUGUCAUCUAGUCAAAUCUCCCAAGAGAUUUCUGAAAGCCCUGUAUGGACUCAAUUUACUAGAAAUAGAAUAUACUUCUGAUUUCAAAAAUUUUGUUAAAGAAAAUCCCACAGAGAUUUUUUUUUUUAAAGUAACCACUAUCAUUCUAAUUAUUACUUCACAACCUUGGGAAAGUUACUUCAUGUAUGUAAGCCUUUGCUCAAAACAUGACUUUGGGCAAGUCACUUCACUUCUCUGGAUAUAAGUGUCCUUAUCUACAAAUACCAACUCCUGCUCCAUGUUGCAUGCCCCUCGGGGUGGAUAAUGGGCUCAAGAAGAUGACAGUAGUGGAAGUGUCCUGGUAACUGUAAGGAAUGGUGUAGUUUUUAAAACAUAAGAAGAGUUGCUACCAGCUCCUACAUUCCCUUGCCAGUGACCCCUCAUGCCAAGUAAGAUGCAAAUGUUUCUAUUAAGGUUUCUCCCCAUUGCCUGUAGUUCUCCCCCAUAGAGUUACCCACAGAUGGGUCCCUACAAGAACAUUCUCCAAGGGCUCCUGUGUCUUCUCACGAAAGACAAGGAAUGGGCCUGUGCCCAUCGCAGUGUCUGCGAGGGAACGAGCCACACGCACACAGGGAGGCUUUCAGUGGGAACAGCUGCAGUCUCUUGCUUGUCCUACAUCCUCAACUACCAGCGCCACUUGUCCGUGGGCCUCUAGCAGCUAUCAGAGUGGUGAACCUAAGGAGCACAGCAGCAGCAAACCACACAGAGGACCCUCAUAGUCUUAGGUUUCAGUCACAGCAGAACCUCAUAAUGGCACAGAUUGUUGUUCAUUCUAACGGGCAUUUAUGAAGUGUCUGUUAUGAGUCAGGUCCUGCCCUUGCCACCGAGGGUAAGAGAUGAGUCAGAUGUGCUGUCUGCUCUCGAGACCUCACAGUUUAGUGAGAGAAACAGACUCAUGAGUGUCAUAUACUGGAUGUGUUAUGACCAAAGGCUACACAGUGUUUGGGCACAGCUGAUGGAUGGCUUAAGUCUGUCUGGGGGCUCAGGGUGGGCUUCUCAGAGGAGAUAAGAUUUCAGUGUUACCUUAACAGGGGUUUAGAAAUUCCCUGAGGUGGAAAAUGGUGGUGGGGGAGCUUGGAGUAUAACAAAUGAGCAUAUAAAGGCACAGAGAGGAGUUCCCGUCGUGGCUCAGUGGUUAACGAAUCCAACUAGGAACCGUGAGGUUGCAGGUUCGAUCCCUGGCCUUGCUCAGUGGGUUAAGGAUCUGGCGUUGCCGUGAGCUGUGGUGUAGGUUGCAGACGCGGCUCGGAUCCCACGUUGCUAUGGCUCUGGCGUAGGCCGGCAGCUACAGCUCCGAUUCCACCCCUAGCCUGGGAACCUCCAUAUGCCGCGGAUGCAGCCCUAGAAAAGGCAAAAAGACAAAAACAAAUAAAUAAAGGCACAGAGAUGUGACGGGGCACCUUGGAUCUGGGCACAGUAACAGGGGGCCUGACCUGUGUGCUACACAUCAGGGAAUGGAAAGACCUGAAACCAGAGAGGUAGCUGGGGGCCAAGGAGCAGGCCUUUAUGAUGUCAAGGGGGAGCCGCUGAGGGGCUCAGGGAGGAGAAUGUCGUGGUCAGGUAAGGUUCUUAGACAAUUUAGGUGGCAGUAUGGGGGCUGGGUGAGAAAGGAGAGAGAAGAUAAAUUCACCGAGGUAUUAAAGGAAAGGACAGAUUCUAGAGAGAUUUAAAAGGUAGAAUUGAAAGGUCCUUAUGAGAAAUUGUAAGAGCUCCGGCACAGGAAAUUAAAAGAGAAAGAAGGCAGACUGAAAAUCUAGUGAGGGCCCCAGGUAAAAUGACAAGAUAUCUUGCAUCAAGCAAAUCACACCUUGGCUUCUAUUUAUCAACUGCCUGGCCAAGAUGGCCUUUGUAAUGUUUGGGGACAGGAGGUCAAAAUCUUUUGGGACAAAUAAUUUUUUCCAGCUAACAGAUCUGGCUGGCUAGGCCAGUGUGCCCCUCCUGCCCCAAGUGUCUUAGCCCCAAAGCUAACUGUUUUGUCGAGGAAGAUGCCUUCCCCAGAUAGAGAAAGGUCACAUGUUGGUAAAGGAUUGACAAACAGCUGCGACAAGAUCUAUCUAGAUUCAUGCAUUACCACGAAGAAAUGCCUAUCUCAGAACACUCAGCUGCCUGUAGCAUACGAUCACAGACCACACAUGUGGCAAAUUCCCGGAAGAAUUGAUAUUUGAGCUGGGUCUUGAAGGAAAGCAAAGGAAAAACAAGUACACUAAAAUGAUAACCUUCCUGGUUUGGCCCUUUUUCAGAAGUACACCUAGAAUGUUCUAGAGUAGAACUGUCCAGUGGAGCUUUCUGCAAUGAUGAAAAUGUUUUUCAGUUCUAUCCAAUACGGUAGCCAUUAGUCACAUGUGGCUCCUGAACACUCUAAAUGUGGCGAAUGUGACUGAGGAACUGAUUUUUUAAUUUAAUUUUCAUGAAUUUGAAGGUAAAUAGCCACCUGUAAGCUAGUGGCUACCAUGUUGGACAGCACAGCUCUGAAGCCCACUUAGCAAACCUAAGUUUUUUUUUUUUUUUUUUUUUCUGGCCAUGCCUGCGGCAUAUGGACGUUCCCAGCUGAAUUAAACGGUAAAAUUGGGACCAGAAUCCAGAUCUCUAUUCCCAGGGUAGAGUUCUUGCUGCAACCAAGCAGCCCAUUUUUUUUUUUUUUUUUUUGGUCACUAUCAUCUAGUUAUCCCAGAAUGAUAGAACUUUUGGGCUAAUCAGCCUCAAGAUUCUCACAGACAGGAGGUUGCCAGGCUCUGUCCUUUUCAGCAGUCUAGAGUGUCUAACCAUUUAUAGAGAUCAGUUAUUUGAUUCUGUUUAGGAGUUUCUUUUUAAAAAGAAAUUGAGCUCAAAUGGUUCAAAAAAAAAAAAAGACAUGCACUAAAAAUUUCACUCCCACUUCUUCCCCCAUUGCUCUUACCCCUGCCUACAGGGAAUUUCUCUUGUUAGUUUCUUGUGAACCAUUACAAGAAAUUUGAAGUCACUCUCCUGAUUCUCAAAAUGAUCUGCUAGGGCGGGAAUAUUUAUUCACCCUCACUUCACCUAAAUCAAGAGUCAGGAGUUCCCGUCGUGGCGCAGUGGUUGACGAAUCCAACUAGGAGCCAUGAGGUUGCGGGUUUGAUCCCUGCCCUUGCUCACGGGCGUUGCCGUGAGCUGUGGUGUAGGUUGCAGAGGCGGCUCGGAUCCUGCGUUGCUGUGGCUCUGGCGUAGGCCGGUGGCUAUAGCUCCAAUUCGACCCCUAGCCUGGGAACCUCCAUAUGCCGAGGGAGUGGCCCAAGAAAUGGCAAAAAGACCAAAAAAAAAAAAAAGAGUCGGGGAGCCAAAGUAGAUGAAAGAAUGAAAGAAAAACUAAGUCUCGACUAAGCACUUUUUUUGUUGUGUUUUGUUUUGUUUUUAUGGCCGCACCUGUGGCAUAUGGAAGUUCCUGGGCUAGGGGUCAAGUCAGGCUAGGGGUCAAACUGGAACUACAGCUGCCAGCCUAUGCCAUAGCCACAGCCACACCAGAUCUGAGCUGCAUCUGUGACCCAUGCCCACAGCUUGUGGCAACGCUGGAUCCUUAACCCACUGAGCAAGGCCAGGGGUCGAACCCGAAUCCUCAUGGAUACUAGUCAGAUUUUUGACCAACUGAGCCACAAGAGGAACUUCCCAACUAAUGAUUUUCCACAAUGUCAUUACACCUUUAAAUAGCCCUGCAGUGUGUGAUAAGCGCUUAGCUUCCAGGCCCAGGAUGAAAGGUAUGAUGAGCCCAGAAGGCAGGCUGGGCCACUCAGCCAAGGGCUCCUUAAACCUCCUAACAGGACGGAGCCUGCCCAGGGAGGGACCACCCCAGGCUGAAGAGGGACCCAACAGGCAGUGUCCACUUUGAAACAGGACUUGUUUCCUCUUGUUCCUUCAUCCCAUACUUCCAAUCUGUCACAAAGCCUAGUCAAGUUUUCCUGUGAAAUAUUUAUCCUGUCUGUCCCUCCCUUUCUCUUUUCAUAGCAAAAAAAACUUGGUUCAGACUUUAGUUACCUCACACAUGGGUUACUGUCACAGGCUUUUUUUUUUUUGCUUUUUAGGGCUGCACCCGUGGCCUAUGGAGGAUCCCAGGCUAGGGGUUAAAUUGGAGCUACAGCUGCUGGUCUACACCACAGCUCACGGCAAUGCCAGAUCCUUAACACACCAAGUGAGGCCAGGGAUCGAAACUAGGGAUCCUAGUUGGGUUUGUUAACCACUGAGCCACGAAGGGAACUCCCUGUCACAGGUUUUUAAUUGGUCUCCUGGUGCACAAAGACCUUUAACCUAAAUUAGCAUUACCACAUCCAAUUUCCAUUUACAACAUGUGUGUAAAUCAUGCGGAUCCUUUAAAUAGCCUCGUUUUCAAUCUUUCAACUCCAUUCAGUGGGAACAACCCCCUCAAGGUGUUACUAAAAAGGGUCAUGCAAAGAACACAUACUCCAGCUAAGGAACAAGGCUGGUCAGCAGAAGGAAGAACUUGUUCAAAAAAUGGAUAAAUAAAUUGUGAUGUAUUCAUAUACUGGAAUAUUAUUCAUCCAUUAAAAAAACGAGCUACUGAUGCACAAUAACCCAGAUGAAUCUCAAACAUAUCAUGUUGAGGGAAAGAAGUCAGACACACAGCAGUACAAGUAGUAUGACUUCAUUCACAUGAAGUCCAAGAAUGGGCAAAAUCACCCCUUGGGGAUGUAAUUCAGAACAAGGCUUGCCUCUGAUGGGGCACUGUCGGGGAUACAGGGGGAUGUGACGGCAGUGCUUUCUACACUGAUUGGGGCGUUGUUACACAGGUAUACGCCUUUGUCAAAGCUCACCAACUAUCUGCUUAAUAUCUGUGCAUUUCACUGUAAUUAUUCCUCAAUUUAAAACAGAGAGAGAAGUAAAACAAAACAAAACAAAACAAAAAACAAAACAAACAAACCAAAAAAACAGAGAGAGAGAGGAGGAAAAGAGGGAGAGGGAGGCUGACCUGCUCAGGCUGUUGCAGAAAGAAGAAUCCGAUGUCCAGUGAAAAACAGUGGCUUCCUAGUAGUGCCUUGCCCUCUCUCAACAUCUCUCUAAAACACAUUUGAAGAAAUCAGGAAAUUAGGAAUCUGACAACUUCUGUACAAAAUCUGACAGAACUGUAAUGCCAGAGUCUCGGCAACAUCUCUGCUCUUACAGAGGGCACGGUGCAGCUGAAUGGAGAAAAUCUGACUGACCCAGUUUUGAGCUCCUAUCAUGCCCACUUCCAUUCCCUGAGCAGAUUGCCUCAGAAAAGGUAGCAGGGCCCUCGGCCCUCCCACACCAUCUGUCCUCUGUGCUUGGGGGACGUCCAGCCCUUUCGGAACAGAUCUCAGGCAGGCAGAGCUCCUUCUCCCAGUGUCCUCACCCAAUGUCGGGAGCCACCUCUGCCAGCUUGCAAGCUUUUUAAUUUAAAUUUCACUGGUUUCAGAGUAACACAAGGACAGAGUUUUCAAUGAAAACUAGGACUACUACAGAGCCUGUUCCCCAAAAUAAGGUUCUCCUGCCUGGCCCCGCCUACUUCACUCCUCCUUCUCCCAAUCACCAGCUGUGAUUCUUUUAACUGUGAUCUCUGGUGUUGGCCUCCUUUUACAUAAAUAAUGUGGUUAUGUUUCAUGUUUCUUGAACAUUAACUGUUAACUUCCUCCUGUGAAAAGUAAGGAUUUAGCUCUCUCAGACCCUCACUCCUGCACAGCUUUGAUUUCUCCCCCCUUAUUUCAGUGUUGGUUGUCCAUGUUAAUGUGACUACAUAAUGUUCCAUAAACAUACUGGAACUAUAUUUCUUGUACAACUUUAAAUUUUUCCUGGAGUUAAGAAUGACCCCCCCCCUUUUCUUUUUACUGUUUUCAUUUCUUUCUCUUGACUGACAGCACCGUGGGCCCUUGAACAACAUAGGGGUUAGCGUUGCUGAUCCUCCCCGCAGUUGAAAAUCCAUGUAUAACUUUGCAGUCAGUGCUCCACAGCCAAUGUACAUCCACAGACUCAAUGGACCUUGUAUCCUAUAGGAUUGUAGUUUGUGUUUACUGAAAAGCAAAAAAAAAAAAAAAAUCUA
rnacentral:lncRNA from 1 species